rnacentral:rRNA from 1 species
UAGGGUUUGUUAUGGCUCAUAUGAACGUUGGCGGCGUGGAUUAGGCAUGCAAGUCGAGCGAGAAGUUUACUUCGGUAUUGGAAGCGGCGAAAGGGACAGUAAUGUGUAGGUACCUACUUUUCGAUCCGGGAUAGCCGCGGGAUCUGCAGGUAAUACCGGAUAUUGUCUUCGGACAAAGGUGUGAUUCCGUCAGGGGGGAGCCCGCAUCUAUUAGCUUGUUGGUGAGGUAACGGCUCACCAAGGCAACGAUGGGUAGCGGGUGUGAGAGCUGACCCGCGUCAUCGGGAUGAGACACUGCCCAACAUCUACGGAUGGCUGCAGUCGAAAUCUUCGGCAAUGGGCGAAGCCUGACCGACGACGCCGCGUGCGGGAUGAAGGCCUCGGGUUGUAAACCGCUGUCGUUGGGAGGAAGCAAAAGGGUUAUUCUUUGUUUGACCAAUUCAAGGAGAAGUACGGGCUAAGUUCGUGCCAGCCGCCGCGGUAAUUCAAUCA